UCUCAUGGAUGAGCAAAACAAGUGGUUUCUUGAGAGAGAACCUACUGGUGAAGAUGCUGUGAA
rnacentral:pre_miRNA from 1 species